rnacentral:lncRNA from 1 species
CUGAGGACAUUCAGGCUGCUUGUACUAAAGACCUGACAACUGUGGCUGUGGAUGUUGUACUUGAGAAUGAUACUGUGGAUGAUACUGUUAGUAGCGAAUCGCUUCAGUCUUUGUUCUCAGAAUGGGACAAUCCAGUAUUUGCCCGUUAUCCAGAGGUUGCUGUUGAUGUAAGCAGUGGCCAGGCUGAGAGCUUAGCAGUUAAAAUUCACAACAUCUUGUAUCCCUAUCGUUUCACCAAAGGAAUGAUUCAUUCAAUGCAGAUUCCUACGAGAAGCAACAGGCACAAGGCUCUGGUCGGAAAAAAUUACUGUCUUCUACUCUAAUUCCUCCGCUAGAGAUAACAGUGACAGAGGAACAAAGGAGACUCUUAUGGUGUUACCACAAAAAUCUGGAAGAUCUGGGCCUUGAAUUUGUAUUUCCAGACACUAGUGAUUCUCUGGUCCUUGUGGGAAAAGUACCACUAUGUUUUGUGGAAAGAGAAGCCAAUGAACUUCGGAGAGGAAGAUCUACUGUGACCAAGAGUAUUGUGGAGGAAUUUAUCCGAGAACAACUGGAGCUACUCCAGACCACCGGAGGCAUCCAAGGGACAUUGCCACUGACUGUCCAGAAGGUGUUGGCAUCCCAAGCCUGCCAUG